rnacentral:rRNA from 1 species
GAUGAACGCUGGCGGCGUGCCUAAUACAUGCAAGUCGAGCGAACGGACGAGAAGCUUGCUUCUCUGAUGUUAGCGGCAGACGGGUGAGUAACACGUGGAUAACCUACCUAUAAGACUGGGAUAACUUCGGGAAACCGGAGCUAAUACCGGAUAAUAUUUUGAACCGCAUGGUUCAAAAGUGAAAGACGGUCUUGCUGUCACUUAUAGAUGGAUCCGCGCUGCAUUAGCUAGUUGGUAAGGUAACGGCUUACCAAGGCAACGAUGCAUAGCCGACCUGAGAGGGUGAUCGGCCACACUGGAACUGAGACACGGUCCAGACUCCUACGGGAGGCAGCAGUAGGGAAUCUUCCGCAAUGGGCGAAAGCCUGACGGAGCAACGCCGCGUGAGUGAUGAAGGUCUUCGGAUCGUAAAACUCUGUUAUUAGGGAAGAACAUAUGUGUAAGUAAGUGUGCACAUCUUGACGGUACCUAAUCAGAAAGCCACGGCUAACUACGUG